rnacentral:rRNA from 1 species
UCUGGUUGAUCCUGCCAGUAGUCAUAUGCUUGUCUCAAAGAUUAAGCCAUGCAUGUCUAAGUUCACACUGUCUCACGGUGAAACCGCGAAUGGCUCAUUAAAUCAGUCGAGGUUCCUUAGAUGACACGAUCCUACUUGGAUAACUGUGGCAAUUCUAGAGCUAAUACAUGCCUAUGAAGCUCCGACCCUCGUGGAAAGAGCGCUUUUAUUAGUUCAAAACCAAUCGCCAGUCGUCUUCGGGCGGCCGGUGUCCCCAUUGGUGACUCUGGAUAACUUUGUGCUGAUCGCAUGGCCUUCGCGCCGGCGACGCAUCUUUCAAAUGUCUGCCCUAUCAAAUGUCGAUGGUACGUGAUAUGCCUACCAUGUUUGUAACGGGUAACGGGGAAUCAGGGUUCGAUUCCGGAGAGGGAGCAUGAGAAACGGCUACCACAUCCAAGGAAGGCAGCAGGCGCGCAACUUACCCACUCCCGGCACGGGGAGGUAGUGACGAAAAAUAACAAUACGGGACUCUCUACGAGGCUCCGUAAUUGGAAUGAGUACACUUUAAACCCUUUAACGAGGAUCUAUUGGAGGGCAAGUCUGGUGCCAGCAGCCGCGGUAAUUCCAGCUCCAAUAGCGUAUAUUAAAGUUGUUGCAGUUAAAAAGCUCGUAGUUGGAUCUCAGGUGCAGGCGGACGGUCCGGCUCGCGCCGGUUCACUGUCCGUGUUUCCUGCCCUACUGGUCUGCCGGCUCUCUCCCGCGGGUGCUCUUCGCUGAGCGUCCCGGGUGGCCGGCGCGUUUACUUUGAAAAAAUUAGAGUGUUCAAAGCAGGCCUCGGCUGCCUGAAUAAUGGUGCAUGGAAUAAUGGAAUAGGACCUCGGUUCUAUUUUGUUGGUUUUCGGAACUGGAGGUAAUGAUUAACAGGGACAAACGGGGGCAUUCGUAUUGCGGCGUUAGAGGUGAAAUUCUUGGAUCGCCGCAAGACGAGCUACUGCGAAAGCAUUUGUCAAGAAUGUUUUCAUUAAUCAAGAACGAAAGUCAGAGGUUCGAAGA